GUGAGGCCGGCAGCAGGGUCCUCCCCAGGCUUCCCCCUACAGCUCAGAGCUCGAAGCGGGCGCCAGGGGAGCCUCCGUCAUUGCGAUGCAGCCCCAGCCUCACGGAGGUGACAGGGAAGACUGGCCCUGAGCUAACAUCCAUGCCCAUCUUCCUCCACUUUACAUGUGGAACGCCUACGACAGCAUGGCUUGCCAAGCAGUGCCGUGUCCACACCCUGGAUCUGAACCAGUGAACCCCGGGCUGCCAAGGCAGAAUGUGUGAACGUAACCACUGCACCACUGGGCUGGAUAAAUACCCAGAAGUGGAAUUGCUGGAUCGUAUGUGUGCGUUUGUGAAGAAUGAGAACGAAGAAUUUCGGCGGAAACACCUUGCAGCAUCUAAAGAGCUUUCUAUGUGCUGGGGUACCCCAACCCUGCCUCAAGGGAUGGGGUCGGCUGUCCUUUCUCCAAGGCCCUGACAGCGCCUGGUACGUAGUCUAGCCCAGAGCUGGAGCUCCACAGAUGCCAGAAGGAGCGGGCUGGGUCAGUUAUGGACCUGAAAGAAGGAUAUGCAUCAAAACAACCUCCAUGCGACUGGACCCAGCGGUUGGCCCUUGGUCCUCACCUC
rnacentral:lncRNA from 1 species